AUCCACCAAUCUCCCAUUCUACUGCACCACCGUCUCUCUCGAGACCCAAAUCCAAAACCCACAAAAACCCACUUCUCAGAAUUGGCUCAAACCCGCUGUCAGAGGCUCCCCCAAAGUCCAUGCUCUGUUCAAGACGCUGCCGCGGCCGGAGGGAUCGCCGGCGCAUUCACGUACCUCCAAACCAAAGGGGCUUCUGAGAUUUACGACGGUUCUUUCGAUGCCAUAGUCAAGACCUUCAAGAACAAGGGUGUUCUGGAUUUUUACAGCGAGGCUUACGAUAUUGGAUCAGUAUCUCAAAUACAAGGAGUUUGCCCAGCCCAAUAGGGGAUAUAGGCCCAAACAAGCCGGGCAAGCCUAGACCAAUAUAGCCCAAGGUAAAUAAAGGCCGACCAGAUCCAAGGCAUAUCUGAGGAAAUCAGAUCUAGUUCAGACUGACCACUGACAUAAGAACAACCAUCUGAUCAGCAUAGAUUCAACAGCUAGGGCCUGAAACAAGUUGGCCACUGCCGAAAGGACCUUUGACAGAAGAAUGAUCGUUUGAUUAACCAAGAUCCAACAGUCAUUCCUACUUACAACUUGGCCACUACAUUUGACAAAGACCCAGCCAUUCGAUAAGCAGAGAUCUAACGAUCUGCAGCAAUCGCAAAUUGGACACUACUAGUGUGUCGGUGCCUCUUGACUGCAAGGAGUCUGGACUGAUUCAAGAUGGUGAUACUACUAGUACAAGAUCUAGGAAUUCAGCAUUGGCUGGAAAUGCUAAUCAAGUUGAGGCUGAAUGGAUUGAGAAGUAGGGGCCUGGUGUGUGUAUAACACUUGUGGCUGUCGGGAAUGGAACUAGAGAUCUCAAACGAGUGCACUUCAGCCGGAGAAGGUUUGGUGAGCACCAAGCAGAGACGUGGUGGUCGGAGAACCAUGAAAAGGUUUAUGAUAAGUACAAUGUUCGCGGCACAGAUAACUCAUCGGUCUCGCCACCAUCUUCCCAACACUAGCAAAAUGAUUGGAGGAAAGUUUUCUAUCAAACCCUUUUGUAUCUGUCAGCUGUGAAGGUUUCUUAGGUUGAGCAUUAGACACAAUAUUGGACGUAAACGCCCCAUCACCCUUGUGUUUUUAAUGCCUCAUUUCUUCCCAUUUCAUAAUUUUUUGCUCCGGUUCAAUUUAAUUUUCUGGGUGUUAUUUGCCCCCUUUUUUUGGUGGGCAGGUUGGGAAAUGUCAUAAUUGCCCUUUAACCUAUCUGUUGUAGUGUACAUGAAAUCGACAAUUAUGAUAAAUCUCGACUGAAAGAGUUCUUUUCAUUUCUUGGUUUUUUUCUACCCCCAAAGGCUUUUUCUCAUUGUCUGUUGUGUGCAUUCUAUUUGUUUGUAUGAGCUCUCUUUUUGUCUGCGCAUUGGCAGAUGUUUGUAUAGGCCUAUACUGACAAAAUGAACCGAGCAGUGUUUGAUUGGCCCAUUUA